AAAGAGUUGGACAUGACUGAGCAGCUGAACUGAACUGAACUGAACUGAACGCUCUCAGCAAGAGGGCAGGGCGAGUUCACCUCUGGGAAGCAGCCCGGCCUUGCCCUCUGGAGCUCAGUGCUGUCACUGGGCUGGGCAUGUGGGUGGCGAGGAUGCUCCGGGGUGAGCUGUUAGGAAGUGUGUGAUCUCUGUCUCGAGCAGCAGGUUGGAGGUGUCAUAGUCUGCAUUGAAAUAUAUUGAUUAAAGAAUUCAGGCUGCCAGGGCCGGUGAGUAGCAGCUUUCAACACCUCCUAAUGUUGCUGUUGGGCUUUCCUGGUGGCUCAGGGGUAAAGAACCUGCCUGCCAGUUCAGGAGACAUAAGAGACNNNNNNNNNNNNNNNNNNNNNNNNNNNNNNNNNNNNNNNNNNNNNNNCAACCCACUCCAGUAUUCUUGCCUGGAAAAUUCCACGGACAGAGGAGCCCGGCGGGGUACAGUCCAUGGGGUCUCAAAGAGUCAGGAAUGACUUUGUGACUGCACACCAACAAGAAACGUUGCUGUAAGCUGCUGGGCAGGUAGGUUGGGAGCUAGUUUUCCUCGGUCUGCAUGGACCCCACAAUGUGGUCUGGUCAGGAGUAGAGAGGGGACCCAAUGGUACUCUGGGGAUGAAAAUUUUACAACAGAACCACAGAUCCCAUUGUAUCCACAGCUAUGAUCUGGGUCCUUCCUAAGUUAUAGGCUUCGUUCUCGUCCAUGGGGUAUGAAACAGAAAUGCAUACUUUUCAGGGCUGUUGGGGGACCUGGAUGUACGUAGACAGGGAAGGGAAACAUCACCCUCAACAUCCUGAACGUACAAGUUUACCCUUCAUUGGUAUAAACCAUCAGUGCAGGGUAUACCCCAGCAAAGAGCCUUUGUGUAACCGGAUUUCAAGAAGAGUUUGUACUUCUCUCCAUAAACUGAGACAUCGGGGCCACAGAGGCAUUUUCUUCUAUAAAUAGUCACUUACUGUAGCAAAAUACCAUUUCCUCUUUCCCCCUCAUUAAUUAGUUAGAGAUAAAAUAAUACUUGAGGACUUCAUAAUCUUAAAUUCACAAUAUUUUACUUAAUUAAAUAGGUAAUUUAGAAAAAUAAUUGGCAAUUGCUAAGACCUCUAAUACUGAUGAGAAGUGAGUUGGAAGCAUUCUUUCAUCACAAAUUGAUACUUAAAUGUAAAGUUCCACACACAGCUGGAAAGUGCCAUUGUAAGUGGCCUGUACAUUAAGUAGCUAUCAUUAAACCAAAGAAACCGAAAUUAAAGUAAAAAGAAAAACAGUGCAUUUUAAAAGAAAUGUUUGGGAGUAGAUUUUUAAGGGCUCAAAAGUAUAAACAUGACUUUCUAUGCAUAAAUUCUGAAGAAGAUUGUUACAUAACAUAUCUGUAAAUUUCUGACA
rnacentral:lncRNA from 1 species